rnacentral:lncRNA from 1 species
GCAGAAGACGUGGACUGCCUCUGUGUUCUUGCAGCUGGAACUGGGCUUGUGCUCACUGCCUUCUCACCCCAUUCCAAGGCACAAAGGCUUAGGAAUGUCAGCACUAAAGGAAACUGUGGCAAGGGGAUCCCCUUCUUUCUCCUCUCCUGCAUAAUCAACACCAGUCCAGCCUUUCAGAAAAUAAGUAACUAAGACAAACUCCUUCCUUAAUUUAUUACAUUCAUUUUUUCCAUUUUUAAAAUUUAUAUUAGGAAAAUAACAAAAGCUUAUGCAAAAAGAAAGAAUAAUUCACACCCAUCGCCUAGCUUCAGUAGUUUAAGAAGUCUUGGUUUGUUGUUUAUUCUCAAAACAGGGUUUCCUACUACAUAUUUUGGCUGUCCUGGACCCUGCUAUGUAGAUAAGGCUGGUCUUGAACUCAGAAAUCCUCCUGCCUCUGCCUCCCAAGUGAGAUAUCUUAGAGGGAUUACUAUAUGGAGAAACUAAGUUGUAGGGUAAUACAUGAAAGGUGUGGAAGAGAAAAAGGAAAGUAGAUUCCAAAUAUUUUGAAUUUCUGGAAAAAUACACAAGCUAGUACUAUUGGCUGCUUUGCAGGAAUUGAAGAUCUAGAUGUCUAAGGAAUUAUAGGGGGAGAACUUCUGUUUUUCUCUUCUGUGAUUAUAUGAACUACAUGUAUUAUCUAUUAUUCAGCAGGAUCCAGUGAUUGUAUGCAAGGAAAAAAACAUACAAUCAGAAAAAGGGAGAGAAGACUUGUGUUAGAUUUUAAUUGGACCUGCCAUUGUGAGCUGAUUUCUUCUUUUUUAAUAAAAAUUUCCCGAGGAGGCGGAAAACCAUUGGAACUUGAUCAUUGUGCUUGACUCUAGGACCAGAUACUGCUUCAGUAUCCAUUUCUGAAGUAUUUAGAUAUAAUUCAUAAUGUUUUAAUGACCAAGAAGUUAUUAUUAUUAUUUUUUUAAAGAUUUAUUUAUUUACUAUAUGUAAGUACACUGUAGUUGUCUUCAGACACACCAAAAGAGGGCAUUACGGAUGGUUGUGAGCUACCAUAUGGUUGCUGGGAUUUGAACUCAGGACCUUUGGAAGAGCAAUUAGUGCUCUUAACCGCUGAGCCAUCUCACUGGCCCCAACCAAGAAAUUAUAUGUGAACACAACUGUUACUUAAAAAUGAAGACAGGGUUAUACUUUGCUUUGUCUUAAAUUUGACUGGAGAUGGAGAGGUAGUUAAAUUUUCUUUGCAAUUCUUAAAAAUGUAUUUAUUUUUAUGUCUAUGAGUACUAUAUCUGCAUGUACACCUGCAUGUCAGAAGGAGGCGUCAUCACAUAAAUAGUUGUGAGCCACCCUGUGGUUGCUGGGAAUUAAACUCACACCUCUGGAAAAUCAGCCAGUGCUUUUAACCGCUGAGUCAUCUGUCCAGCCAUCCUUCAUAAUUCUUAAAAUCUGAUUACACUGUUUAUGGUUUAGAAAUAAUGAAAGUUUAGAUACUGAAAUUCAUAGUUUUAUUACUUACCAGUUUCAUUUUAAGGUAGUUAAGAAAGCUUUAAUAUUCUAAAGUAUCUACCAAAGUUGUGUUAUUUGGGGUAUAGAUGAGGUUAAUAUAUACAGUUGAUUGUUACAGUUAACAUCUGAUUACGGAACUGGAGACUUUUAGUUGAAAAAACAUUAAAGAACUGCUCUUAGGGGCUGGAGAGAUGACUGCAUUUAAGAAGUUACUCUUCCUGGGUUGGCUUUCCAGCACUGGAACCAGGAGACUCACAGCCUAUUCCAGGGGUUCUGGCACCCUCUUCUGAAGGUUCUAAUACAUACCACACACACCAUAAAUAAAAAAUACUUCUUUAAAAGACUUGUUUAUUUUAUGUAUAUGAAUACACUGUAGCUGUACAGAUGGUUGUGAGAUUUUCUGUCAGUAGUGUGUUUCUUAAUGAAUUUUAGUCAAGUGACAGAAACUGGAAAAUGUUUGAACAUUUGUUUUGUUUAUUUUCAAGGUUCCUCUUCAGGUACCUGCUUAGUUAAUUCUGUAUGAAGUAAGUGUAAGUUCUAUAGUUAGCAGUGUAUCUUGUUUUCUUUGUCCUUGUUUGUUUGUUUGUUUUCUUUUCAAUUUUAUGUAUGUGAGUACACUGUAGCUGUCUUCAGACCCACCAGAAGAAGGCUUUGGAUCCCAUUACAGACAGUUGUGAGCCACCAUGUGGUUGCUGGGAAUUGAACUCAGGACCUCUGGAAGAGCAGUCAGUGCUCUUAACCACUGAGCCAUCUCUCCAGCCCUAGCAUAUCUUGUUAACUAAAUAGUAAUCACUUCUGAAUGAAGCUAGGAUAAAUUUAUUUUGAUGAGUGCUGUAGACUAUCACUUCUGAAUGCAAGUGGAUUACUUCAGUAAGACUGUUAUUGUUAUUUUUCUAGUUCUUUUUCUAAGACAUGGGAGCAAAAAAAUAAAAGGAAACAAUAACUAAUGUACAUUUGCUUCAGGGCUGUUUCUUGGCAGACUCGUUUUUAGUUUGUAGCUUCUGUGGUGUUGUGUUCCUGUUACUCCCUCCCGUCUUGUUUUUCUGAGUGUUUUCUGAUGCUUGCACCCUUCCUCCCUUCUUGUCAUUUUGAUCUAGAAUAGUGGUUCUCGGUCUGUGUCUGUGUUACCCUGCAUAUCAGGUAUUUACAUUACAAUUCAAACAGGAAAUCACAAUCAUGGAGUAGCAAAGAAAUAAUUUUAUGGUUGGGGUAAGCACAGCAUGAGGAAGUGUAGUAAAGAGUUGAAGUGUUAGGAAACUACACUACACAAUAAUUACUACUACUACUAAUAGGAAAACCUUUGUUUGUUUCUUGUUUUUUGUUUUGUUUUGUUUUUUUUGUUUUUUUGUUUUUUUGUUUUUUGAGACAGGGUUUCUCUGUGUAGCCCUGGCUGUCCUGGAACUCACUCUGUAGACCAGGCUGGCCUCGAAUUUAGAAAUCUGCCUGCUUCUGCCUCCCAAGUGCUGGGAUUAAAGGCGUGCACCACCACUGCCCAGCUGGAAAACUUAACUAUACAUGCUAAAUUAUUUACUUCUUCCCUUCUGAGUUCUUACUAGUACUCUUAUCCAGAGAUUUUUUUUUUUUCCUUCAAGGAGCCAGUUGGCGGCCUCCCCAAGCCCCACCUAUAUGAAGUUGUUAAAAAUAAUUAAGAAGUUACUACAAGCUAAAUUAUACAACCAGGUUGAUUAUUGUUGUCUUUACUCAGGCUGGUCUUGAACUCAUAUUUGAGCCCUGGGAUUAAAGGCGUGAGAUACUGCCACCUGGCAAAGCUGUAUAUCAUAAGAAAUUAUAGCCUAUCUAUUUUGUAUUAGUAGCUAGUAUCUAGUAUUGAUAAUUUGAUAUAGCCCUGAUCAUUUUUGUACGGAAUGAAACAAAAUCCUUGAAUAUCUUUGAAUUUGAUUUAAAGUAUUUGACUCUACUACUGAUAGUGUAUGGGAAGUACCCUUUGUUUCCUUCUCAGAAAGCUAGUAGGGUCAACAGAGAACCAUGACCCUGGCUGAAAUAGAAGUAACAUAUGUCAAUUUGUAAAAGCCCAGCAUUGUAAACUGCAUGUAAUGGCAGUGUGAAAAAGAAUUGUCAAAGUUGAUAGAUUUUAUAAAAGAAAAGUUAGUUUUUUUUAUUGGCUGUGUGGUAACUAAUGGCAGCAGGUGGUUGAUUGAUAGUUCCUGGAAUAUUGGAAAGCAAGUAUGCCUCAAGGUGUUUGUAAUAAUAGUCCUGGCAACAGAGCCAUGAGUAUUGUCCAUAUUUGACACAAGUAAUUCAGAAAGGACUGUUAGAAUGGAAAUUUCUUUCUUCUCGGCUCUUUACCUCAAGUCCUUACUCAGUGGAAAUCAAAUUUAUCUUAGCCUCUUCUACCACAAUUGUAUCGC